AAAUUUAGCUUUUUGUUUGGUCUUAUAAUGAAUAUACAUUUUUUGUUUGACUUUCUUUCUUAAAUUUUGAGUGAAAUAUUUUUUUUUUUUACACACAAAAGCAACAUGAUGUAUCAUUUAACUAAUGGAGGCAUAGCUAGAACUAAUGAUACAUGAAAAAGGCUAACAUUGUUCAAUUUGAUUUUAACGAGUAGGUUCUUGCUCUCCCUGCUGCUAGUCAGCGUCGUCCAAUGCUACGGAGAAAUGGUUCUGU
rnacentral:lncRNA from 1 species